rnacentral:lncRNA from 1 species
AUAGAUACUAGCUAUCUAGGUGGAGUUGAAAGAGUUAAGAAUGUCAAUUAAAAUCACUCUCAGUGCUUCUUACUAUCAAGCAGUAAAAACUGUUCUCUAUUAGACUUUAGAAAUAAAUGUUCCUGAUGUACCUGCUUCUAUGGUCAGGUUAUACUCUUCUUCCCCCAGCUAUCUAUAUGGAAUUGCUUACCAAAGGAUAGUGCGAUGUUUCAGGAGGCUGGAGGAAGGGGGGGGGUGUUGCAGUGGAGAGGGACAGCCCACUGGGAAGUCAAACAUUUCAAAGUUUGGGAUUGUAUCAAGUGGCAUGUGCUGUGACCAUUUAUAAUGUUAGUAGAAAUUUAACAAUAGAUGCUUAUUCUCAAAGCAGGAAUUGGUGGCAGAUUUUACAAAAGAUGUAUCCUUCCAAUUUGGAAUCUUCUCUUUGACAAUUCCUAGAUUAAAAGAUGGCCUUUGCUUAUGAAUAUUUAUAACAGCAUUCUUGUCACAAUAAAUGUAUUCAAAUACCAAUAACAGAUCUUGAAUUGCUUCCCUUUACUACUUUUUUCUUCCCAAGUAAUAUACUGAAGCUUUUAUUUUUAGUUGCUGAGGUUAACAUUGCUGCAAUCUGAAGUGACUUGAAAAUUAAGAAGCAAAGAAUUUAGGAAGAGUCAAACUGGAAGUUGUGAUCUGAAUGAAACAGUCUCCCAAUUUUAUUAAUUCCCUCCUCUCUACUACCACCCUUUACCCCCAAAUAAAUACCUAUGUCUAAGGAAACUAGCAGUUUAGCAUUUUGGAUCUGUCUAUAGUUUAUUUCUUAAUUUGUUUCUCAAAUAAUCAACCUUGUUUAAGUAAUUAUAGAAUCAGUCUCAAAAGAUAGUAAUCUAAUACUAUGGAAAAGAUUCGCAAGAGAAAACAUGAACACCAACUCAAUGAUUACAUGCAUAAAUCAAACCUCAGCUCUAGGGAAAUGGGAAACUUAAAUUCUGACUACAGAUGUAACUUAGGAGAUCAACAAGGCAGUGCUCAACAAGGGAACAAUUUUUUGCUUGGUUGCUUUUCAUCCCAAGAGCCAGUGUGAUUAUCAGGCAGCAAAAGCAAUUUGAUAUCCAGGAAUAUUUCACAAACCACUAAUUGAGGCAGGGCUGUUUGCUCAUUAGCAAUGUUCUAGUACCCAAUAGGUCUGGGAGUGCUAAUAUCCUGCCUGUGGCUGUAAAUCCAAAUACACAGAGUUUCUCCUUAGGAGUAUCUCUAGGAGUGGAAGAGAUUGGACAGGCUUGUUAGCUUCGGGUAUACUCUCCCUUGUAAUAACACUUCUUGAACAAAGGGUUACUGGGAGCAGAGCCCGGUUUGCCAAACUGAAUUUGCCGAUGUCAGCAACCCGGAAGGUGAGAUGAUUUUGACCAUAUGUAGAAAUAGCAGAGGGACAAUAAAGCACUUUGGGGUGGGGCUCUGUGGAAGCUAAACAAGAGCCAACUAGAAAAAAUAAGCAGGCUGGGGAAUUAAUUACCUGCAAAGGUAGACUAAGCCCAGACAACAGUACAGCACAGAAAAGC